AUUGAACGCUGGCGGCAGGCCUAACACAUGCAAGUCGAACGGUAACAGGAAGAAGCUUGCUUCUUUGCUGACGAGGGGCGGACGGGUGAGUAAUGUCUGGGAAACUGCCUGAUGGAGGGGGAUAACUACUGGAAACGGUAGCUAAUACCGCAUAACGUCGCAAGACCAAAGAGGGGGAGAUACGGGCCGCUGGCCAUCGGAUGUGCCCAGAUGGGAUUAGCUAGUCGGGGGGGUAACGGCUCACCUAGUCGACGAGCCCUAGCUGGUCUGAGAGGAUGACCGGCCACACUGGAACUGGGCCACGGUCCAGGCUCCUACGGGAGGCAGCAGUGGGGAAUAUUGCACAGUGGUCGCAAGCCUGAUGCAGCCAUGCCACGUGUAUGAAGAAGGCCUUCGGGUUGUAAAGUACUUUCAGCGGGGAGGAAGGGAGUAAAGUUAAUACCUUGGCUCAUUGACGUUACCCGCAGAAGAAGCACCGGCUAACUCCGUG
rnacentral:rRNA from 1 species